GAUGAACGCUGGCGGCGUGCCUAAUACAUGCAAGUCGAGCGAACAGACGAGGAGCUUGCUCCUUCGACGUUAGCGGCGGACGGGUGAGUAACACGUAGGUAACCUACCUAUAAGACUGGGAUAACUUCGGGAAACCGGAGCUAAUACCGGAUAAUAUUUCGAACCGCAUGGUUCGAUAGUGAAAGAUGGCUUUGCUAUCACUUAUAGAUGGACCUGCGCCGUAUUAGCUAGUUGGUAAGGUAACGGCUUACCAAGGCAACGAUACGUAGCCGACCUGAGAGGGUGAUCGGCCACACUGGAACUGAGACACGGUCCAGACUCCUACGGGAGGACGCAGUAGGGAAUCUUCCGCAAUGGGCGAAAGCCUGACGGAGCAACGCCGCGUGAGUGAUGAAGGUCUUCGGAUCGUAAAACUCUGUUAUUAGGGAAGAACAAACGUGUAAGUAACUGUGCACGUCUUGACGGUACCUAAUCAGAAAGCCACGGCUAACUACGUG
rnacentral:rRNA from 1 species